GACGAACGCUGGCGGCGUGCUUAACACAUGCAAGUCGAACGCUGAAGCUCAGCUUUUGUUGGGUGGAUGAGUGGCGAACGGGUGAGUAACACGUGAGUAACCUGCCUCCUUCUUUGGGAUAACGCCCGGAAACGGGUGCUAAUACUGGAUAUUCACUGGUCUUCGCAUGGGGGUUGGUGGAAAGGGUUUUUCUGGUGGGGGAUGGGCUCGCGGCCUAUCAGCUUGUUGGUGGGGUGAUGGCCUACCAAGGCUUUGACGGGUAGCCGGCCUGAGAGGGUGACCGGUCACAUUGGGACUGAGAUACGGCCCAGACUUCUACGGGAGGCAGCAGUGGGGAAUAUUGCACAAUGGGCGCAAGCCUGAUGCAGCGACGCCGCGUGAGGGAUGGAGGCCUUCGGGUUGUGAACCUCUUUCGCUCAUGGUCAAGCCGCAACAAUGGUUGUGGUGAGGGUAGUGGGUAAAGAAGCGCCGGCUAACUACGUG
rnacentral:rRNA from 1 species